CAGUCGCCGCGGGAAUACGUAGGUCCCGAGCGUUGUCCGGAUUUAUUGGGCGUAAAGCGAGCGCAGGCGGUUUGAUAAGUCUGAAGUUAAAGGCUGUGGCUCAACCAUAGUUCGCUUUGGAAACUGUCAAACUUGAGUGCAGAAGGGGAGAGUGGAAUUCCAUGUGUAGCGGUGAAAUGCGUAGAUAUAUGGAGGAACACCGGUGGCGAAAGCGGCUCUCUGGUCUGUAACUGACGCUGAGGCUCGAAAGCGUGGGGAGCGAACAGGAUUAGAUACCCCCGUAGUCCCUGUCUCUUAUACA
rnacentral:rRNA from 1 species